rnacentral:pre_miRNA from 1 species
AAUUCAUACCAAAUGGAGACGAUCAGUACCAAAGGCUGGUGACUGAGCUUCGUUCGGUAUCGAUU